ACAUCAUUUCCGCAGGAAACCGGCGUUGUGCAGGACAUUGUAGAUCUUGUCGCGUGGAAUUUUGUCCGUCUCGCGAUCGAUCACCUAGAACGGGAACACAAAACGGAUUUACAUAUUCGCGCGGAGGCGACGAGCGCGAUUCGUCGAAGUUUACCUGCAUCUCUUUGUUGAGGAACCAGGAUUCUUGGGCGAGUUUCGCCGCGAUUCUGGGAUUCUUGUAGAAGUCGUUUCGCAGCUCGUUAGGCAGUGUGUCUUCUAUCGCCGAAGUCAACAGAUUGGCAGGAUGCGGAUACACGACCCCGGAAGGGAAGUAAAACUGAGGAGCGGCCGCGCAGAUUCCCGCGAGAACGACGAUCGCUAUGAUCGCGUUCAUCCUGCGAAAUUUCACCUCCAAAGCACUCUGCAAGGACACAAUGUGUAACAUUCAACCCGGCUAUACGAGUGUGCUAUACGUGUCACACAGGGACGGAUAUUCGAACAUUCGUUUCCUUCAAGACUUACAAAUACGCAAGAGGAGACCACCCUGAACACUACCUUGUACGAUUCGCUCUUUCCUGCAGAGCGUAGACGAUAUUCUAAGAAAUAUGUAAACGUCUAAUUCCGGCGGACACCUCCGAAACAGCUUUAGAAGUCACGCGCCAUACGGAGCUUGUCGCCGUCGGGACAUCGAUCAACUUUUAACUCGUCUGCCGAUAAAUGUAUCUUGAACGACGACGUUUCGACCCCGGGCGGUCGUAGUUCCGGCGUCGAAAACAGAAAAGCGAGGUUUACACGUGCUGGUUUGGAUAUAGAAAAACGAAAGAGGAAAAAGCAAAAAGUGACUUUCUCUCACAUACGAUGCGACAGUUGGCCCCUUUGGAUCGUUCCUAAUGCCGAAGAAUCAGAUGCUUGUUGCCCCGCGGAUGCUGUCCGUGACUCCCGGAACCGGAAAAUUCCCGUCUGGAUCCCGGAUCUUCGUUGUUCGAUCCUGGGUCACCCGUAACCCGUCGUCCCUCGGCACUCGACUCAACGGACUCGGCACUCGACGAACCACCCGGCUCGAAAGGAUCUAGUUAUUGCUGUUGUGCGUGUCUAACUGAAUUCAAGAUCCGUUACAGUGUUACUUAUAUAGCCGGCGACUGUGCAGAGUGAGCUCACGACACUGUAAGCCGCCUCUGAGGUUACAUUCGACGUUUCUUGGCCAUUGCCUAGCUUGUGGUCCUUCUGUCGGCCUUAGAGCUCGCGACCGAGGCCACUGUUCCUUCGUUAAACCGUUUCAAGGAUGCCGCGGAGCGCUCGUGGACGUUGACGUACUGCGCUCUUUUUAAAAAACCAAGGUCUCCAUUAUCCUCAGAUCCCGCUGUCCAAUGUCUGCUUUCCCGUCUCGGUGGUCGCAGAAAUUA